UGGGGAAUAUUGGACAAUGGGCGAAAGCCUGAUCCAGCCAUGCCGCGUGUGUGAAGAAGGUCUUCGGAUUGUAAAGCACUUUAAGUUGGGAGGCGUUACCGACAGAAUAAGCACCGGCUAACUCUGUGCCAGCAGCCGCGGUAAUACAGAGGGUGCAAGCGUUAAUCGGAAUUACUGGGCGUAAAGCGCGCGUAGGUGGUUCGUUAAGUUGGAUGUGAAAUCCCCGGGCUCAACCUGGGAACUGCAUUCAAAACUGACGAGCUAGAGUAUGGUAGAGGGUGGUGGAAUUUCCUGUGUAGCGGUGAAAUGCGUAGAUAUAGGAAGGAACACCAGUGGCGAAGGCGACCACCUGGACUGAUACUGACACUGAGGUGCGAAAGCGUGGGGAGCAAACAGGAUUAGAUACCCCUGUAGU
rnacentral:rRNA from 1 species